GGACGAGGACGGGGAUGAAGAGCGAGGACGGGGAUGGUAUUGUCAUACCUGACCCAUUGCUAUCCCUACUCUUGCUGGAUGACCAGUGAGUUGGAGGUUGACUUUGCAAUCUACGAUUGUUUUGUCUACUAUUGAGGCGGCAUGCAUGACGAUAACAUAGGCUAUUAAGGAAGUUAUUUGGCUUCAAAGGUUGCUUGAUGACUUAU
rnacentral:lncRNA from 1 species